rnacentral:rRNA from 1 species
UACAGAGGGUGCGAGCGUUAAUCGGAAUACUGGGCGUAAAGCGCACGUAGGUGGCGACGUAAGUCGGGUGUGAAAGCCCCGGGCUCAACCUGGGAAUUGCAUUCGAGACUGCAUUGCUGGAGUACGGAAGAGGAAGGCGGAAUUCCCGGUGUAGCGGUGAAAUGCGUAGAUAUCGGGAGGAACAUCAGUGGCGAAGGCGGCCUUCUGGUCCAGUACUGACACUCAAGUGCGAAAGCGUGGGGAGCAAACAGG